UACGUAGGGAGCAAGCGUUUGUCCGGAAUCAUUGGGCGUAAAGCGCGCGUAGGUGGCUUCAUAAGUCCGUUGUGAAAGUCAAAGGCUCAACCUUUGAAAGCCGAUGGAUACUGUGGAGCUAGAGUACGGAAGAGGCGAGUGGAAUUCCUGGUGUAGCGGUGGAAUGCGCAGAUAUCAGGAGGAACACCAAUAGCGAAGGCAGCUCGCUGGGACGUUACUGACACUGAGGCGCGAAAGCGUGGGGAGCGAACAGG
rnacentral:rRNA from 1 species